CGGGACACGUGGUAUCCUGUCUGAAUAUGGGGGGACCAUCCUCCAAGGCUAAAUACUCCUGACUGACCGAUAGUGAACCAGUACCGUGAGGGAAAGGCGAAAAGAACCCCGGCGAGGGGAGUGAAAAAGAACCUGAAACCGUGUACGUACAAGCAGUGGGAGCACGCUUAGGCGUGUGACUGCGUACCUUUUGUAUAAUGGGUCAGCGACUUAUAUUCUGUAGCAAGGUUAACCGAAUAGGGGAGCCGAAGGGAAACCGAGUCUUAACUGGGCGUUAAGUUGCAGGGUAUAGACCCGAAACCCGGUGAUCUAGCCAUGGGCAGGUUGAAGGUUGGGUAACACUAACUGGAGGACCGAACCGACUAAUGUUGAAAAAUUAGCGGAUGACUUGUGGCUGGGGGUGAAAGGCCAAUCAAACCGGGAGAUAGCUGGUUCUCC
rnacentral:rRNA from 1 species